AAUAAGAGCUUAAUCUCCAAAAUAUGCAAACAACUCAUACAACUCAAUAGCAAAAAACAAACAACCCAAUUGAAAAAUGGGCAGAAGUCCUAAAAAGACAUUUCUCCAAAGAAGACAUACAGAUUUUUCAAAUCUUUAGAGCAGAUCACCUCCACCUGAUAGCUUAUCAAAGGAGUGGUGAGGGGCGUGCCCCUUGCUAGUUUCCUUGGUAAUUAAUGAGCCAACCUGACGUCCAUUGCGCCGAAAGUAGUAACCUCCCCUUCCCUCCGGUGAAGACUUCAGCCUUGCCUAGUCCUGCUCUCCAGUCAUCUACAGCACCGGCUCCAGGAUAUUGCUUCAGGCAGGAAGGAGAUCCCUUGAGCCAGAGAUAUUGGUGUGCCUAAAUGAUAAAGCAAUUAGCUUUUGGCUUUUGAGUAUCAGCCCUGGCACUACACUGGAUAGUCCCAUUGAACAGAAGACUGCCUGAUAACCAGAUGCCACACAGUGCAUACUCAACUUGAUCUCCAGAGGCCGCCAGUUGUUGAACAGCCAACUGGAUCAGGCUUGUAAAGGAAGGAACCAUGUGUCAUUCAUCUCAGCAGAGUGCCUUUCACCUAAUCAUGAUUAAUAAAUGUUUAUUGAAUUAAAAGAGUGAGAUGGAGUAAAUGCUGAAGUGAAAUGAUGACCAGAUAUGAUAAAUAAUCUCCUCUGAGAUACACAUACACAAAUUUUCCACUUCAUGUGUUUAAAAGCAGUUAAAACUUGUUAAUAAUCUAUUCUGCUGUGCUUUUAAGCAUACAUGAAUGGUGUAAAGCAAAGGUUUAAUGACAAUAUUUCACUGAGGAAAAGUCAAGGACAGUGAGACAAAAUACUCCUUGAAUCACCACAUGGUUUGGGAAAGAAGAAAUACUCCCUCUCAAUAUUCAAACACUUCCUUAACUGGGUUAUUAGUAAUGGAUCCUCUCCCUUAUGAUGUGUUAUGGAUUUAUCCCUAAAAGAAAUCACAGUCAUCCAGUAGCUGAGAACAAGGCCAAGACCUCUGUGGAUCCCACAAUAAUAGCCUUCUAGAAGCAUUGCUUCCCACACAAUGGAAAGAAGCUAUUUUGUUUCUAGUCACAACAGGGUAGGACUGUUAUUUGCCCAAGCAUAAGGCUCAAGUCUGACUCUAGGAAAGAAUGAAUAAUGAGAUAAGAGAAUUACUUCUCCAUUCUUUGCA